CGAUGAGAUGCUUUUCUCAAGACACAUAAUUAUGGGGGUGGGGGGGUUGAAUUAGCAGCUCCUUGACAAUGCAAUGAUUGCAUUAAACCCCCAAAUGCUUAACUCGGGGCAAUCACUGCAUAUUGCAAUCAUUGCAUGACUGCAAGGAUUCACAUAUUGCCAGGGUGAAAGCCUCAGUUCUCCAUCCUGACCAGGUACAGUGUAGACCUGGGGGCCUCCUCUGUAGGACGGUUUUAAAGAAGGAAGUGGAAGAUUGACUAAGUUUCAAAACACACGGCAAAGGUCAGCAGACCCCUGGGCUCUGGCCCAAACAGCACGUAAGCGGGUGCAUACCUCCAAGCAGGUGACCCACCCCACUCAAAUCCCAAGCUUCGAGGUAGACAUGUGCCUAAGUACUUUGCUGGCCCUGGCUACUGCAGCAAUGGUGUUAGGACACAAGACCUCCUUUAGACUGUGGGCACCUAAUAUAAUUUCUCCAAAGCCUGGUUACACAAUGGGGUUGGCACUGCUCCCUUUUUUUCCUGCCUCCUUGGGGGUCUGCAGGGGAGGGAGAGCGGUCACUGUGGUCUGGCAGACUUGCAGGGUCCUUCUCCUCAGGGUGGCUCAUGUCUCAUAGGAGAGCCACUGGCCAAAGCCCAGAGCAUGGAGCAGGGAAGAGGACCUGCUUUCCCUUUCAGCUUUCACAAUUAAAAAAAAACCCCAUAACUUGGCUGGAUUGCCAGCACCAAACGCUGCUGCUUCUCAGCACUGCAAGGAGGUUGUCCCACGGUGGCGGAGGGUGUUUCACACGGUGCUUCCUGAGAGAGGUC